rnacentral:misc_RNA from 1 species
GAUGAAGAACGUAGCGAAAUGCGAUAAGUAAUGUGAAUUGCAGAAUUCAGUGAAUCAUCGAAUCUUUGAACGCACAUUGCGCCCCUUGGUAUUCCGAGGGGCAUGCCUGUUCGAGCGUCAUUAUAACCCCUCAAGCUCAGCUUGGUGUUGGGGCCUGCUGCACUGGCAGCCCUUAAAAUCAGUGGCGGCGCCAUCUGGCUCUAAGCGUAGUAAUUCUUCUCGCUAUGGAGUCCUGGUGGAUGCUUGCCAUCAACCCCCAAUUUUACUAUGGUUGACCUCGGAUCAGGUAGGGAUACCCGCUGAACUUAAGCAUAUCAAUAAGCGGAGGA